rnacentral:rRNA from 1 species
AGUGAACGCUGGCGGUAGGCCUAACACAUGCAAGUCGAACGGCAGCACAGUAAGAGCUUGCUCUUACGGGUUGCGAGUGGCGGACGGGUGAGGAAUGCAUCGGAAUCUACUUUUUCGUGGGGGAUAACGUAGGGAAACUUACGCUAAUACCGCAUACGCCCUACGGGUGAAAGCAUGGGAUCUUCGGACCUUGCGCGAUUGAAUGAGCCGAUGUCGGAUUAGCUAGUUGGCGGGGUAAAGGCCCACCAAGGCGACGAUCCGUAGCUGGUCUGAGAGGAUGGUCAGCCACACUGGAACUGAGACACGGUCCAGACUCCUAAGGGAGGCAGCAGUGGGGAAUAUUGGACAAUGGGCGCAAGCCUGAUCCAGCCAUACCGCGUGGGUGAAGAAGGCCUUCGGGUUGUAAAGACCUUUUGUUGGGAAAGAAAAGCAGCAGGUUAAGACCCCGCGGGUGUGACGGUACCCAAAGAAUAAGCACCGGCUAACUUCGUG